rnacentral:rRNA from 1 species
GAUGUUGGGUUAAGUCCCGCAACGAGCGCAACCCUUAUCUUUAGUAGCCAGCAUUUCGGAUGGGCACUCUAGAGAGACUGCCAGGGAUAACCUGGAGGAAGGUGGGGAUGACGUCAAAUCAUCAUGCCCCUUAUGAGCAGGGCUACACACGUGCUACAAUGGCGUAAACAAAGGGAAGCGAGACCGUGAGGUGGAGCCAAUCCCAAAAAUAACGUCUCAGUUCGGAUUGUAGUCUGCAACUCGACUACAUGAAGCUGGAAUCGCUAGUAAUCGCGAAUCAGAAUGUCGCGGUGAAUACGUUCCCGGGUCUUGUACACACCGCCCGUCACACCAUGGGAGUUGGAUAUGCCCGAAGUCAGUGACCCAACCGUAAGGAGGGAGCUGCCGAAGGUGGAGCCGAUAACUGGGGUGAAGUCGUAACAAGGUAGCCG